rnacentral:tRNA from 1 species
GGGGGGAUAGCUCAGUGGUAGAGCAUUUGACUGCAGAUCAAGAGAAUAAUUUUGAAAGGAAUAUAAUAUAUACAUUAUACUUCUU